GAGAGAAGCAAACGGUGAGGUGUUGGAUGAUAAGAGACUUUCUUGAAUGUUGAAACAGAAAAAGGCAGUCUAGUUACCCAGUUUCCUCACUCCACAGAUGCCUUUAUUGCGGUGGAAUGAACAAGGGCUUUAUGUUACAACAGGUUCUAUCACUGGCUUCACUGCUGUGUGACUACAGCAAAGGACCAGAGAAAUCCAUCCCUGCCUCCAGAGGGAAGAGAGAGGUAUAAAACAGGGAUGUCCUGAGGGCUGCACCCCAGAGCCACGCUCUGCUCUGAAGGGAAGGUCGACGAGCUCUUCCUCCCUUCCCUGGAAGAAUCGCAAGCUCCCGACCAUGCGCAGGGGAAAACCACACUUCCACGGUCCCAGCCCCUCUCCCAGAAUAUCCAGCUGCCUGUGAAACCCACAGAGAAGAGUUCCCCAG
ensembl:lncRNA